rnacentral:lncRNA from 1 species
ACACACAAGGGAACGCAGGUGGGGUUAGGAGAAGGGAGCUCGAUAGGACAUCGCAUCCUAUGCCUACAUAUCUCAUCUGGACAUGAGAAUCAGAGCCACUGUAGUUCGGCUUACGCACGCCAAACAACACAAAACAUACAAACAAGCAAGGGUGGCAAACAUGGAGCCCGACAACCACUGGAUGGAAUUACGUCGGCAUCCG